AAGAGGAAUAUUUCACCUUUGUGUUCUUGUCAGAUGGACAAUAACAAAAGCUUGUCUCUGUAAUGUGAAUAUGUAAAUAAUCACCUGUUUGUUUAACAUAAAUAUGAUAACUCUACCUCAUUUCAGUCUUUAAACCAAAUAUGGAAUCUAGAAAUCAAAUGUGCCUUUUACCAAUCUCUCUUCUUCUCUACACCACACUGACUUACUGAGCUUCUCCUGGCAGAUGUCUCCUACAUCCAGAGAUUUCCACUUGGAGAGUUUGCUGUCGUGGGUGAGAACCAGACGCCAGCCAUCUGCUGACAGCAGCGUUGAUGUGUUCCUGCUGACCAGUCUGCCUCUGUCACAGUCCCACAAUAAUCCUGUUGCAUCUACCUCUGAUCCCAAGCAGGGCCGAGUACCGAGAAGUUGACUCUGCAGGGCCGACAAACAUCUGGACGAUCCAACACACAUCAGCUUGCUCCGAUCAAUCCAGAUCCACUGCUGAGACUCUGAGUCCACAUUGCACUUUUUCAGCAGGACUUCCCCCGUAGCUGAAGAUUCCGCCAGACACAGGCUGCUCUGGGUGUUGUGGAUCAUGAACGCUCUCGCCCCUGCAGGUGUUGUAGAGUGAAAGAUUUAGAUUAAUCUAUUUCAUUUAUUUUAUUUAAAAGGGACCAUGUACAGUUCAAACAUAAAUAUUUACAUGUUAUAUUUGAUGCACUGUACCAGAUUAUAGCUUUAGCUUAUUUGCAUCUUGUCCCAUGACAGGUCAUGACAAGGAUGAGACUAACAAACAGCACAGCGGGAAGUCUUUUGUGGUUUUUAAGGAAAUAGAUGAUUGACCAAAUGCAGUGCGGCCAAAUGGAAUGGUGCAGUCCCGUAUGCAUGAUAUUCUUGAGGAUGGAUAAAAGUUACUGAGUAGCUUUACAUCAAGCGACGUGGUGGAGGAGGGGCCAAAUCAUUUAAAAUUUUAAAGGCCAUACAUACAUUUUAAAAAUAAGUCUAUAGUUCUCGAGGCUCGGUUAAUUGUAUUUCUUCAGUACGCUACAGUGAUGAAAGUCCACCGGCUCUGUGUACAAAGUUAUACCCAGCUGCCUCCAACAUGUAAUGCAAUAUGACAUAUGGGAAAGGAUCAUGGCAUGUAUAAAUAUCUUUUAGUUUUUGUUACGUCUGAAAUUAGCCAAAUUGUAUUUUAUGGUUUUAAACGUUCUUUUCUUACAGUUCAAAUUUUGAUCUAGUAUCAGGACAAGAUAUUUAACAUCAGUUCCCAAUGCAUUUAUUAGUAAUCCAGCAGUGUAUGCAUAUGUAAACAGUGGCAUCUGUAUACACUUGCAGUUCUACAUCAUGACACUGUUGAGUGAGAUCACUGAUAUGUAAACUAAAGCAAUAAGGUACGAGAGGCUGUACUUUCAUGUCAAUAAUGUUACAAUUCAGGGGUGUUGUUGGGCCUGACACGUAGCCGGAGGCAUCAUGAAUAGUAAGUAAAUAGCUGCCUUUCAGCACAAAAUAGUUUUGUAUGGCAUUGCAGUAGCGUACAGAAAGUGUACAUGUGGCUGUUGCUAUGCAACUGAUCUGACACCAUAUGACCUGUUCUGAACCACAAAAAUUACCUGUAGCAUCUUUUGUUAAUGUAUUUCCAAAUUUGUCUAAAUGAAUCACAGACUUACCCAACAGGAGAGGGAACAAUAUGAUCCAGGCACCAAACAACAUAUCUGAAGAGGAUAAAACAUGUUCAAUCAACGAAAUGUCCAUCUUAUCAUUAAAUUAGCAACCUGAGCAAAGUGAGGUCAUUUCUACAAGGUGACAUAGUGGCAGGAGAUUUGCUCCUCUGGGUGUACCCAGCUGGACCGCAUGAACAUUCUCUUUGGACAGAGUUUAGUAACUAAAGUUAAACUGAAACAAUAUAAGUGAGGUGCACAUAGAUUACCCUAUUAGGCACUUGCUUCUAUGUGGGGUUUUUAUGCUGAUGCAGGUAUCUGCAGAUGGUCCACAUGGACCCUUGCUCACAUGGUGAAUCACUACAUUUAGAUCACGCAAAUCAAAGCACACGGAACGUUUUUAUUGGCCGCUGCAUGUCUCUCUUACAUGAAAUGUUCCUCCGUCCAGGACCAAAGCAUUUAGUCACAUUGUCCCUAAUUUUAUUUUUAUACACAGUUAUGUUAUUUUAUCGAGUUUUUAAAUGAGUUGUUUUCUAUUCAGGUUUUGUUUAGAAUUUUUCAUCUGGCACGUUAUUUGUGUGAAAUUCAAUGCUGGACAUUAUUUUUUAGAUUCUUCAUGCUUGGUGACGGUGGAGUCCUCUAUUCCAUGCAUUGUCAAUACAAUGUAUAUUUUCGUAGUAGUAGUAGUAGUCUAUGGCUACAGUUAAUUCUGGGUCUUGUGCAUUGAGUAGCACAAGAGCUCACCACACCAUGCCAUAGCAUAUCGUAGAUAUACACUGCACACCAUGAUGAGAGUAUGAAGCAAUGCUGUGAAAUCACACUAGCACACAAAGGUAGAGCGCAGGUUAAUAUGCUGUGACUUAAACCACAAUGUCUCCUCUAACAAAAUGUUUUAUUUACCAGCUAGUAAAAGUCAUCAACCCAACUGCUGUAUUCAAAUGUUUUAUUA
ensembl:lncRNA